rnacentral:rRNA from 1 species
GCUUAACUUCGGAAAGGCAGUGGAAACUGAACAGCUAGAGUACGGUCGGGGUAGAAGGAAUUCCUGGUGUAGCGGUGAAAUGCGUAGAGAUCAGGAAGAACACCGGUGGCGAAAGCGUUCUGCUAGGCCUGUACUGACACUGAGGGACGAAAGCUAGGGGAGCGAAUGGGAUUAGAUACCCCAGUAGUCCUAGCCGUAAACGAUGGAUACUAGGCGUGGCUUGUAUCGACCCGAGCCGUGCCGGAGCCAACGCGUUAAGUAUCCCGCCUGGGGAGUACGCACGCAAGUGUGAAACUCAAAGGAAUUGACGGGGCCCGCACAAGCGGUGGAGUAUGUGGUUUAAUUCGAUGCAACGCGAAGAACCUUACCAAGACUUGACAUGUCGCGAACUUUCUGAAAGGAAGAGGU